AAGUUUUAAGUUAAAUUUAAACUAUUAGCCUUCAAAGUUAAAAUUGCCCUAAGUAAACUUUGU
rnacentral:tRNA from 1 species